AAAAGCUCGGGGUUUCGCGUCUCUGAACUCCGGUGGUGGCGGACUUGAACAGGCACUUUUUUUUUUGUUACGACGAGCUAAAUAGAGCAAAUUAUUGUUUUUUGUUUGUUUUUUAGCUGCGUAACUUUACAAAGAGCGCUCAAUAGCUAACGGAUAAUAAGGACUCCAAAAAUAUUUUAUGAACGUUUUUUGUAACUGAAAUACAGGAGGAAAAAUGCGACUAGCUAAUUACCACAUCUUAAAGUUACGUGAUAUGUACGCUGUUGUACACAUCAUCAUCCACAAAAGACAACACCUGCGUAAGUGCCACCCAAACAGGUUUUCCAGGUCAGCUCCAGAGUAAAGCUUUGUCUUUGCAGCCAGCUCCUCCAGACAGACGCGUGAAUCCACAGGCAUAGACUUUGUGCAAACUUUUAGGAUGGCGAGUCGAGCCUUAACACAGGACCUUAUCUGCUCCCCUCCUCUCCACCGUCUUCAGGCCGAUCCCAUCCAUCUCAUUCAGCAGCACAGAGAGCAGCCGGGUCUGUACA